UCGGGAAUUUUGGGCAAUGGGCGAAAGCCUGACCCAGCAACGCCGCGUGAGGGAUGAAGUAUUUCGGUAUGUAAACCUCGAAAGAAUGGGAAGAAUAAAUGACGGUACCAUUUAUAAGCUCCGGCUAACUACGUGCCAGCAGCAGCGGUAAUACGUAGGGAGCAAUCGUUGCUCGGCUUUCCUGGGCGGAAAGGGCGCGUAGGCGGCGCGGUAAGUCACUUGUGAAAUCUCUGAGCUUAACUCAGAACGGCCAAGUGAUACUGCUGUGCUGGAGUGCGGAAGAGGCAACCGGAAUGCUUGGUGUAGCGGUGAAAUGCGUAGAUAUCAAGAGGAACACCUGAGGCGAAGGCGGGUUGCUGGGCCGACACUGACGCUGAUGCGCGAAAGCCAGGGGAGCAAACG
rnacentral:rRNA from 1 species